GAAGUUCUGAGGUGUACGAUAUAUUCUCAAUGUGUUGACCGAACAAAUAAUUUUACCUUGGGAUCCUUGAUAAAUGUUCAAAUAGCAUGCCACUUCAUAUGGACACUAGAUGACAUUUUGUGGAGCCCACCUGCUGAUAUUGCGGGUUCAAAACUAGUAGAAUAACAAAAACGGCACCAUCGGAAUUUUU
rnacentral:other from 1 species